CGUGACUGACUGACUGACGGACGGACGGACGGACUGACAGCAGUGAACCCAGGGGGCUCGGUUCACGCCCGGGGCCUCGCCCAAAGAGGUAAAACAUGGCCCAGGCAAAACCGGGGCCCACACGAAGGGCGUAUGGAUGCAUAGAUGCCCUCCACCGCUGUCACCACUAUCACCCGUGCUAUCACAAGUCCGGCUGCCUCUACCGAGCCAAACAACCGAUACCCACACGCGCAACGCAGCACGUGCCAAAGGGCGAGGAUGCUUUUCAUUACCCGCCGCUAGCCGUGUUAUGGAUGUGUUGGGCUUCAUAGCCCAUAAGGCAUACACGGCAACGCGCCUCUUUUUUUUACGUUGAGCGGUUACCACUCUCGUCCUCCAGGAACCCCCCAAGCGACCUUCCCCACACGGAACAAAACAACGCACCCGACGGUACCUUUUAGAGAGCCAUGGUUAUAUUAAGUUUUAGCGUGCCCGUGCACCUCUGAUGCCACAAACGACCGUAUCGUAAUACAUCACCGAGGCGCACACGAUCGUGACUCGCGAGUCCCCAAGCUGCUGGUCUGGCUGGCGUCACACGGCGUCAGGGCAGUUUUUGACGGAUGUUUGUUUCAUUUUUCAUUUCCUAUCCUGAUUCGAAAGUGGAUAGGAGAGUAAAGAAAAGAAAAUCAUGCCGAUUACGACGGGUUGCGUUAAUGCAAAACGUUUGGCUCCAUCCUGCUCCAGACUAAGCAGAUCGCGAUAUAGGAUUUUAGCCUUUUCCAUAUCCUGGAGGGCUGGGACCUUGCCGGAUCCGCAUCGCGGAGCUAGAAGAGACUGCCGGUGCCACUUGGCAGCUGCGAACAGGGACGGAGAAAACAAAAGCCUAAGUCAACCAGACGGGCAGCGUCUAGACAAUUCACCAUCCUAGAGGUUCAAAAUCACCCCAGAGCUGCAGGUGAACGCCGGGUUGCUUGCAGCCACUAUUGGUCAUUACAGCGACACCCAAGCUCAUCGUUACAGGGGGGCAUUUAAUAUAGUAUCGAGUAAAUUAUAUUCACGUGUCCAAUCGGUGAGCAUGCACAUAUGUGUUUAUGUGUGUGUUGCACUUCGAGAUGUGUUGGCCCUAUGCACGCGGCAAUUGACCGUCAACGUAACCAUACGAGCCCGGGGCUUAAGGGCAAGCCGAAGGCUGUUCGAAUUAGAUAGAUA
rnacentral:lncRNA from 1 species